rnacentral:rRNA from 1 species
AUGCACACUGUUUAUUUAAUAGGAGAGAGGAUGGCAUGGUGUCAUAAAAAAGGGGGGAGAGAACGGCGAGAGAUGGCAUUCCUCAGUCAAGAGCAGGCGGCGCCGGCAUGGUUCCUCUCGCUGGCCUUCCUCGGCACCCUUUACGCCGCUGCAUUCUCGUUCCGGUUCCUCGCCUACCUCGCGCUCUGCUUGCGCCGGCCGAAGGACCUCCGGCGCCGCUACGGCGCCUGGGCCGUCGUCACCGGCCCGACGUCCGGCAUCGGCCGGUCCGUCGCCCUGGAGCUCGCCAGCCGGGGGCUCAACCUCGUGCUCGUCGACCUCAACGCCGCCAACCUCAAGGAAAUCUCUCACACCGUCAGAUCUCGCCACGCCGUGCAGACCAAGACCGUGGUGUUCGACCUCUCGCUCGUUUCUACUGCCCAAGGUGACGAGGCGCUGCGGCGGCUCCGAGAGGCCGUGGCGGGGCUGGACGUGGGAGUGCUGGUGAACAACGCUGGGGUGGCGAAGCCGGGCGCCGUGUACCUGCACGAGGCCGACGUGGAGGCUUGUGUGAGGUUGAUGCGGGUGAACCUGUGGGCGUUGACGGAGGUGACCGCCGCGGUGCUGCCGGGGAUGGUGGAGCGGGGCAGGGGCGCCGUCGUCAACAUGGGCUCAGCCUCGUCGGAGGCCAUUCCCUCCUUCCCCCUCUACACCAUGUACGCCGCCACCAAACGGUAUGUCGCGCAGUUCUCCAGGAGCCUUUACGUUGAGUACAGAAGCAAAGGGAUCGAUGUGCAAUGCCAGGCUCCGUUCUACGUGGCGACCAGGAUGGUGUCGGUUCUGGCGGAGACCGGGCGGGCCGGGCGCCUCUCCAUGCUCCUCAUCGCCCCGACGCCCGGCGCGUACGCGCGCGCGGCGGUGCGCUGGAUCGGCCACGGCCCGCCCGUCUGCGCCCCCAACCUCGGCCACCAGCUCCUGUGGUGCCUCGCCGCCGUCCUGCCGGACUUCGUCCACGACUGGCUCCGCAUGCGCGAGCACCUGCAGCACAGAGCGGUGGCUCAGAGAGCGCCGAGACGUCGCGCUGGCGUGCCAACAACUCUCAAGUGA